GGGGGCAACCCUGGCGGCGAGCGGCGAACGGGUGAGUAACGCAUCGGAACGUGCCCAGUAAUGGGGGAUAACUAUCCGAAAGGGUAGCCAAUACCGCAUACGCCCUGAGGGGGAAAGCGGGGGAUAGCAAGACCUCGCGUUAUUGGAGCGGCCGAUGCCGGAUUAGCUAGUUGGUGGGGUAAAGGCUCACCAAGGCGACGAUCCGUAGCUGGUCUGAGAGGAUGAUCAGCCACACUGGAACUGAGACACGGUCCAGACUCCUACGGGAGGCAGCAGUGGGGAAUUUUGGACAAUGGGGGCAACCCUGAUCCAGCCAUUCCGCGUGAGUGAAGAAGGCCUUCGGGUUGUAAAGCUCUUUCGGCAGGAACGAAACGGUAGGGACUAAUACUCUCUGCUAAUGACGGUACCUGAAGAAGAAGCACCGGCUAACUACGUGCCAGCAGCCGCGGUAAUACGUAGGGUGCGAGCGUUAAUCGGAAUUACUGGGCGUAAAGCGUGCGCAGGCGGUUUUGUAAGACAGGUGUGAAAUCCCCGGGCUUAACCUGGGAACUGCGCUUGUGACUGCAAGACUUGAGUGUGGCAGAGGGGGGUGGAAUUCCACGUGUAGCAGGAAAUGCGUAGAGAUGUGGAGGAACACCGAUGGCGAAGGCAGCCCCCUGGGUCAACACUGACGCUCAUGCACGAAAGCGUGGGUAGCAAACAGGAUUAGAUACCCUGGUAGUCCACGCCCUAAACGAUGCCAACUAGGUGUUGGGGGAGGAGACUUCCUUAGUACCGUAGCUAACGCGUGAAGUUGGCCGCCUGGGGAGUACGGUCGCAAGAUUAAAACUCAAAGGAAUUGACGGGGACCCGCACAAGCGGUGGAUGAUGUGGAUUAAUUCGAUGCAACGCGAAAAACCUUACCUACCCUUGACAUGCCAGGAAUCCUGAAGAGAUUUGGGAGUGCUCGAAAGAGAGCCUGGACACAGGUGCUGCAUGGCUGUCGUCAGCUCGUGUCGUGAGAUGUUGGGUUAAGUCCCGCAACGAGCGCAACCCUUGCCACUAGUUGCCAUCAUUUAGUUGGGCACUCUAUUGGGACUGCCGGUGACAAACCGGAGGAAGGUGGGGAUGACGUCAAGUCCUCAUGGCCCUUAUGGGUAGGGCUUCACACGUCAUACAAUGGUCGGUACAGAGGGUUGCCAACCCGCGAGGGGGAGCCAAUCCCACAAAGCCGAUCGUAGUCCGGAUCGUAGUCUGCAACUCGACUGCGUGAAGUCGGAAUCGCUAGUAAUCGUGGAUCAGCAUGCCACGGUGAAUACGUUCCCGGGUCUUGUACACACCGCCCGUCACACCAUGGGAGUGGGUUUCACCAGAAGUAGGUAGCCUAACCGCAAGGAGGGCGCUUACCACGGUGGGAUUCAUGACUGGGGUGAAGUCGGAACAAGGUA
rnacentral:rRNA from 1 species